UACAGAGGUCUCAAGCGUUGUUCGGAAUCACUGGGCGUAAAGGGUGCGUAGGCCGCGCGGUAAGUCAGAUGUGAAAGCCCGGAGCUCAACUCCGGAACUGCAUCCGAUACUGCCGUGCUUGAGGACUGGAGAGGAGUCUGGAAUUCACAGUGGAGCAGUGAAAUGCGUAGAUAUUGUGAGGAACACUAGUGGCGAAGGCGAGACUCUGGACAGUUCCUGACGCUGAGGCACGAAGGCCAGGGGAGCAAACGGG
rnacentral:rRNA from 1 species